CGGGAAAUUCCAUAUCUUCUAGAGCUUUCAAUACAUCCUCCGCCUUAAUCGUCUGCCUCUUUGAUUCAUUGCAUAUAUCAUUCGACGUAGCGGAGAGGUAAUGGAUGAAGAUUCGAGCGCUCUCGCAAAAGGCAAGAAGCGAGUCUUUGUUGACGGAGAUGUCCUGGUCCCGAGAGCACUGAGAGAGCUUCUCUUUGACCACUCGGCGAACUAUAGUCUUUGGAAGCUCUUCAAUCCCGG
rnacentral:misc_RNA from 1 species